rnacentral:rRNA from 1 species
CCUACGUGGGGCAGCAGUGGGGAAUAUUGCGCAAUGGGCGAAAGCCUGACGCAGCGACGCCGCGUGAGGGAUGAAGGUCUUCGGAUCGUAAACCUCUGUCAGCAGGGAAGAACGGUCACUGUGCUAAUCAGCAGUGAAUUGACGGUACCUGCAAAGGAAGCACCGGCUAACUCCGUGCCAGCAGCCGCGGUAAUACGGAGGGUGCGAGCGUUAAUCGGAAUUACUGGGCGUAAAGCGCUCGUAGGCGGUAUGUCAAGUCAAGGGUGAAAUCCCCGCGCUCAACGUGGGAACUGCCUUUGAAACUGGCAAACUGGAGUGUGUGAGAGGAUAGUGGAAUUCCAGGUGUAGGAGUGAAAUCCGUAGAUAUCUGGAGGAACAUCAGUGGCGAAGGCGACUAUCUGGCACAUAACUGACGCUGAGGAGCGAAAGCGUGGGUAGCAAACAGGAUUAGAUACCCUGGAAGUC